rnacentral:sRNA from 1 species
AUAAGAGAAUAAUUAGUCAUAGAACUAUCCAACAGAAUGUUUUUUAGGCCCUGUUCGUUUUCUUGUCGCAGGAUCCAGCGACCAGCGACAGCAACCAGCGACAGCAACCAGCGACAACAUACAUUGUUCGUUUGUCUGUCGCUGGACUCAGCGACCAAUUACAGCGACAAUCGCUAAUAAUUGUCGCUGUGUUGUUCGUUUGACUGUCGCUAUAAACAGUCGCUAUAUUGUUUUUAAAAAUUAAUUAUUUUGGUGCUAAUUUAUAUUUUAAAAUCAAAAUGUAAAUCAUAUAUAUCCUACACCAUGAGAAAAAUAAAUUAAUAUAUUUAUUUAUUUUAGUUUUAUCAAAUUUAAUUUGACUAUAAUUAGUUUAUGUUAUUUGAAUUUAAUUUAUUUUAACUUAAUUUAAUAAGAAUUAAAACUCAAACCCUUCGUGAUAUCGCAGAUAAAAAUAUUAUAAAUUUGUUUAUAU